rnacentral:rRNA from 1 species
UGGGGAAUUUUGGACAAUGGGCGAAAGCCUGAUCCAGCAAUGCCGCGUGUGUGAAGAAGGCCUUCGGGUUGUAAAGCACUUUUGUCCGGAAAGAAAUCCUUGGCUCUAAUACAGUCGGGGGAUGACGGUACCGGAAGAAUAAGCACCGGCUAACUACGUGCCAGCAGCCGCGGUAAUACGUAGGGUGCAAGCGUUAAUCGGAAUUACUGGGCGUAAAGCGUGCGCAGGCGGUUUGCUAAGACCGAUGUGAAAUCCCCGGGCUCAACCUGGGAACUGCAUUGGUGACUGGCAGGCUAGAGUAUGGCAGAGGGGGGUAGAAUUCCACGUGUAGCAGUGAAAUGCGUAGAGAUGUGGAGGAAUACCGAUGGCGAAGGCAGCCCCCUGGGCCAAAUACUGACGCUCAUGCACGAAAGCGUGGGGAGCAAACAGGAUUAGAUACCCUGGUAGUCCACGCCCUAAAACGAUGUCAACUAGUUGUUGGGGAUUCAUUUCCUUAGUAACGUAGCUAACGCGUGAAGUUGACCGCCUGGGGAGUACGGUCGCAAGAUUAAAACUCAAAUGAAUUGACGGGGUCAUGC